rnacentral:rRNA from 1 species
CAGCGCCGCAAGUGGGGACCUCUUUUAUUGGGCCUAAAGCGUCCGUAGCUGGUUUGGUAAAUCUCUUGUGAAAUCGUUAAGCUCAACUUAACGGCGUGCAGGAGACACUGCCUAACUUGAGACUGGGAGAAGUAUAGAGUAUUCCGGGGGAACCGGUAAAAUGGGAUAAUCCUCGGAGGACUACCUGUGGCGAAGGCGCUAUACUAGAACGGAUCUGACAGUGAGGGACGAAGGCUAGGGGAGCAAACCGGAUUAGAGACCCGAGUAGUCC